rnacentral:rRNA from 1 species
AAAACUUUACAAUGCUGGCAACAGCGAUANGGAACCUCGAGUGCCAGGUUACAAAUCUGGCUGUCAAGAUGCCUAAAAAGCAUUUCUUAGCAAGGGCCGGGCAAGACCGGUGCCAGCCGCCGCAGUAACACCGGCGGCUCAAGUGGUAACCGUUAUUAUUGGGUC